rnacentral:rRNA from 1 species
GACGAACGCUGGCGGCGUGCUUAACACAUGCAAGUCGAACGGAAAGGCCCUGCUUUUGUGGGGUGCUCGAGUGGCGAACGGGUGAGUAACACGUGAGUAACCUGCCCUUGACUUUGGGAUAACUUCAGGAAACUGGGGCUAAUACCGGAUAGGAGCUCCUGCUGCAUGGUGGGGGUUGGAAAGUUUCGGCGGGUGGGGAUGGACGCGCGGCUUAUCAGCUUGUUGGUGGGGGAGUGGCUUACCAAGGCUUUGACGGAUAGCCGGCCUGUGAGGGUGACCGGCCACAUUGGGACUGAGAGACGGCCCAGACUCCUACGGGGGGCAGCAGUGGGGAAUAUUGUACAAUGGGCGGAAGCCUGAUGCAGCAACGCCGCGUGUGGGAUGACGGCCUUCGGGUUGUAAACCGCUUUCGCCUGUGACGAAGCGUGAGUGACGGUAAUGGGUAAAGAAGCACCGGCUAACUACGUG